AUGAACGCUGGCGGCGUGCUUAACACAUGCAAGUCGAACGGAGAGGCCCAAGCUUGCUUGGGUACUCGAGUGGCGAACGGGUGAGUAACACGUGGGUGAUCUGCCCUGCACUUCGGGAUAAGCCUGGGAAACUGGGUCUAAUACCGGAUAGGACCACUUCUUGGAUGUUGUGGUGGAAAGUUUUUUCGGUGUGGGAUGAGCUCGCGGCCUAUCAGCUUGUUGGUGGGGUAAUGGCCUACCAAGGCGUCGACGGGUAGCCGGCCUGAGAGGGUGUACGGCCACAUUGGGACUGAGAUACGGCCCAGACUCCUACGGGAGGCAGCAGUGGGGAAUAUUGCACAAUGGGCGCAAGCCUGAUGCAGCGACGCCGCGUGGGGGAUGACGGCCUUCGGGUUGUAAACUCCUUUCGCUAGGGACGAAGCGUUUUGUGACGGUACCUGGAGAAGAAGCACCGGCUAACUACGUG
rnacentral:rRNA from 1 species